rnacentral:rRNA from 1 species
AAGAACGCAGCGAAAUGCGAUACUUGGUGUGAAUUGCAGAAUCCCGUGAACCAUCGAGUCUUUGAACGCAAGUUGCGCCCGAAGCCAUUUGGUCGAGGGCACGCCUGCCUGGGCGUCA